rnacentral:rRNA from 1 species
AGAUGGAUUGGUGCCUUCGGGAACUCUGAGACAGGUGCUGCAUGGCUGUCGUCAGCUCGUGUUGUGAAAUGUUGGGUUAAGUCCCGCAACGAGCGCAACCCUUAUCCUUUGUUGCCAGCGGUCCGGCCGGGAACUCAAAGGAGACUGCCAGUGAUAAACUGGAGGAAGGUGGGGAUGACGUCAAGUCAUCAUGGCCCUUACGAGUAGGGCUACACACGUGCUACAAUGGCGCAUACAAAGAGAAGCGACCUCGCGAGAGCAAGCGGACCUCAUAAAGUGCGUCGUAGUCCGGAUUGGAGUCUGCAACUCGACUCCAUGAAGUCGGAAUCGCUAGUAAUCGUAGAUCAGAAUGCUACGGUGAAUACGUUCCCGGGUCUUG